AUGUCUCAUCAAGAGUUAAUAAGCAGGUAGUCAUUGAGUGUUUCCUGUCAGCAUGUGUCUGUGUGUCAGAGUGUAACAGUAUAGCUUGUGUGUAUAUGCGUGUGUGUGUGUGUGCUGCUCCAUUUUGUCAUGCAACAAGUACCUUCUCAUUUUGGCUGAAACCAUGUGGGAUAAAGAAACUUGAUAAAUAAGUGGGAUUUUCUGAGUCAUCUGCAGCUCUUCUCCAUACCCCAUCUUGGACAGCCUGCCCAAGGUAAAGGAAGUGGAACUGAAGACAUGACCCUGUUGAAGACAAGUGGUGGGAACGAAGGGGCAGAGAGGUCUGGCUAAGAUGGAGGCACACAGAUUGUCAGGAGCCCAGUGCAGGUGCUCCGAAAGCAUGACACAAGAGAACCAGAGCUCCAGAAAUCCCUUCCCUCUUCCCAUGUUGACUGGCCACAUACUCAGAAGUUUUGUCCAAAAUGCAAAAUAUUAACUAGUGAUUUCAGAAUUGAAACUGAAGUCUUUUUGACUCCAUUGUUGAGGCACUUAACCACUGUGAUCCAUGAAACAUUUAGAUAUGCUCUAUUCUCACUUAACAAUACUGAAUUUAUGCAAUGACUCUGAGGAUGGUCUGCUCUUCUACAAUUGUGUGCAAACUGAUGUUCUUAGAAACUUUUAAGUAUGCACAGCUGUUUUGAGAAGAAAAUAUUUUGAUAGAGAAACUUCUGCUUCGUUUCAUCUGGGGAAGAAAACAAUGGAGCUAUCAAAUGCUGAAUGGAAAAGUUUGUAUAAAAAGGCAAGAGCAUCUAGAGUUGCCUCUUUUCAAGGAAGAAGGAACAUUAAGAGAAGUGUGGGCAGGGAUCUUUCUGCUGGAGGCUAAUUGGCAGUCCCUUUGGAAGGAAGCCAGAAAUGUCAUCUUGUUUCCAGCCAGGGAUAUUGAUUUCAAUACUAAUGGAGAUUUGAACUGGACCUUGAACAGUUUACAAAAGUUCCUCCCUCUGGUCAGGAAGCCAUGGGCUUGAUGUUCAAGUGAGUUUGGGAUGUGCUCUGUGGCUAUGUAGCAAGCGCCUAUACCUCUGUCCUGUCAUCACACUGAUUCUCAACAUCUUUUCUCUCUCCUCUUCUGCACUGGGAAACAUCAUCCUGUUAUAGAGAAGUGCAUUUACAGCUGAAAUUACCAAAGUGGCCUGUUACGUUUAUCAAGACAGAAAAAGAAAAAAGAUUACAGUUUGUCCCAGCUGUCUGCAGAACAGAUCUCCUGCUAUUAGAAGGGUACUGAUCCAUGUUGGUUUUUUUUCCCUCUCUCCCUCUUAAAAAUUAAGUAUAUGUAGGAAUACCCUUCAAGAUGUGAUUUCAGGGGAAAAACAUGAUGAUUAGCAGGACAAAAGGUCAGGGCAUUCCAGAACAUUGAGUUUUCCACAUAGCUGCAUUUUGGGGUUGUGUUUCAAAUCUGCCACCACGUGUGCUUCUAUCUCACACGAAGGGUAUCAGGGAGAUCACUAAUCCCAAGGGAAGGUUUUUCAGAGAUGAAUUCACACCAAACUGGAGUGGGGUUGAGGAAAGGAAAAAGGAGGCUGAAUUCCACUUACAAUGGCUAAUUGUUGUGACUAAUUCAGCUUUUGGAAGGUAGAACUCCAUGGAGUGUGUGAGCUGCAACAUGGUUCCUGUUUUAAUUAGUGGCACCACAGGGAGAAGAUGGGCUUAUAAUUGAGUAGUUUGCUGAUCGGUCAACUUCAACCCAUAAUCAGACAUGCUGAGAAGUGGACAUUAAUGGGGAGCUUUGACUAGCAGGAAGUCUGCCCCAUUAGCAUAGCUGGUGUCAAAUCAGGUUGUUGUCUUUCCUCUUGAUUCUUUCAGGAAGAAGAUGCCAAACAAAAUGUUUUCUAGACUAGCUCUCUCACUCACUCUCCAUCUACUACAUCUCUGUUCCCAUUUUGCUUAGCAAAUCUCUGCACAGGCACACUAACAUGAAAUGAAUGACUGGCGUUUCCAUCUUGCAACUUUCCCUCCAAGAUUUAUUGUCGAAUUCUCUCUUCUCAUGCCAACGCCACGACUAUCCAUCACAGUAUACAAUCCCCUUCCAUAAAUGCACCUUAAUUUUUCUUUGGAAAAAUUCUCUCCCUCCCAUUCUGUGGAAUCUUGAUGAGACUCUUAUUUAAGGGUUAGACUCUCUGUUUUCUCCUCCUACACAUCCCCACCCCCACCAAGAAAGAAUUGGAGUCGUGAUCCAAAUUAGGCCAUCCGAAUUUUUUUCCCCAAAAACUUUGACUCUCGAGAAAGAUGUCAGAAAAGAAAAAUAGUUGAAGCUAAAGUUUCUAGUAGGAAACUGUGAUCAGAUUUUUUUCUCUCUCUCUCUUGCUAUGUAAACCCCUAAGCUGUUGGUUUCCUCUCCAUUUCUUAUCCUAAUUCUCAAUACUUGCCCAUAUCUGCAAGUCCUUCACUCUCCUAUGUCACCUUCCUCUCUGCUUAAAUUAGGCAGAAUGAGUUUCUGUUGCUUGUAGUUGAGUAAUCCCAAAUGAGAAGGUAUCCAGGAGAAAGCACCCCAAUGUACAGCUUCAUGUUCAUUCUCCAACAUCCUUUUCCUACUCCCAGUAAGAAAAUGUGCAGAAGGAAAGAAAAUCAUACUUAUGGUAUAUGAGAAGAUAAAUUUAAAAAUGAGAAGAAAUGAAGCACUCUUACUAAUGAGUCUGGGUUUAGGGCCUGGCGUGAGUGUCUUCAUCCCAGAUGUUCUCAUGGGAUCUGCUUGGAAGCUGCAUUCCCAUGGGAUUCUCACUGUUCUUUGGACCAUGACAGUGAUUUGUCUGGCUUCUCUUCCUGUUCAGUUUUCUGUCAGGGGCCCCCGCACUCAUUCAUGCCCUCAACUAUUUGGGGUUGACUGCUGAUACAUGCAUAAAUGUCAUGCCGCAUCUAUGCAUGUCAUGCAGCAUUUCCCCGCAGGAGGGGGAAAUACCACCUACCCUCCAUUUCCCGGCUGUAUUUUGGGCAUGGUUUGUAUUAGCUAGCUUAAAGGCAGGGAGUAUUGGCAUGUUUUCAGAUGGGUGUGUUGUACAUGUGUGUAUACUCUGUUGCCAAGCUACCCAGGGUUAACACAUCCUCAGAGCUUCACUCGCCUGCCCAGCAUGUUCUUGGUGCCUCUGCUCGGGGGAAAACACCCACCUGGGCUUGGGGAGACCCUAAUGUGUUUAAAAUGGUGUUUCACUUAGAUGUACAAAUCAGGCAUUGGUCCUCAACGCUAGUCUGGGGUCAAGAAGUUCCAGCAGCCAAAAAAGCCACAAUUCCCACCCUGUAGAUUACAAACUGUGUGUUCAGAAUUUUAAGGAGUGAGCUGAGGCUUUUCCUGAGCUGAGUAGGAUUUAUACCUUUCACCGGUUAUGAACACAGAAGUGACAAAAAUAUACAUACAUGAGGGCGUUCACCAUAGUUAGAUGGGGGUCAGGGGAAGGAAAGCCAGCUUGGCCAACGCACUUUCAUAACCACAUCAAUUCAGUGCUUUCACGGGCUUGAUUUUCUUUCAGCCCAAUCCACUAAGGAGUUGCUCACUAGUUCUGUGGAUUUUCUGCACAAUUACAGAUUAUUGCCAUGGCAACAACAGAACCAUGUGACAACUUUGCUACCUCGGAGACCAGGAACAGCCACUUACGGGCAACACACAUCAUCUCGUAAAUGGGACUCUGUACCGUUGGCCUCACAUUGUUUUAAGGCUAAUCACUGCUUUUUCACAGAUGUAAUUUUUCCCCCACCCACUCUAUUUUCAUAAUCUUUUAAAACAAUUUGGAUUUGCUCUAAAGCACUUCCAUAUUGGCCUAUGUUCAUUUGGUCAUAAUAAAGGUAUUAUUUUGGUGGACUGAAGAAAGGAAAAAGAGGGGUAAAACCUGAUGGGUGAAGGCAGAUGGGAUGCAAUGGGCAAAGAAGAAACAAUUUUGCUAGCAGAUGGUUUUCUUGCCACGAUGUUACUAGAGUUGAAACCCAUGACAGUUCUGAAAUUCUGGGUUUGCCACACAAAAGAACAUGCUGGGAAUGAAUAAAAUGUGCUAUCUUACCAAAUGAACUCAACUCUUCUGUCCACGUUGCAGGCACAAUCAGAAAUGGGGCCAUUGAUAAUGAAGUUAGAGAUGUGAUUGAGAAGGGGAACCAGGUAAUACUUGUUCCCCGGCAAAACAAUCAAUUUAUUUUUCAGAAACUUAUGCACAUAGCCAAACCCCAGGCUCUUUCUGCCAAACAUUUUCCCUUUAAUUUUUUAACCUCUGGGCAUUUCAAGGAAAAUUGAAUCCACAUGUUUUCAGAUUCAUUUGCAAAUACAGUUUGCUCAGAGCUGUUUGAUGACCAGUAUGCCCUUUGAGUGUUUUUAUGAGCGCCAACUUAUUUUCCCCCAAGCCUCUUGCUUCUGAACCAGGAAGUGGCAUUUGGAGUUUGUAGCAGAAUUAAGAAACGAUCAUUUGCUAAAGCCUUUGCCAAGUGCUCUUGCCUCUUUCUGGAACCUGGUAAAGCUUAAAAAAAGGUUUUCACCCAGUGCAUAAGACGAAUCGAGGGUAACUUACUGUUUUUACAACUGAAAAGCAGACCUGAUAUGGACACGAUCCAAUUCCUGGAUCACAUGGCUUCCCCAUCUUUCUUUAUUACUGAUGACAUUUGCAUGGAAGCAGAUGCUUUCUUUCCCAGGGACACGUCUCCACCUGUGACAUAAUUCCCUGAUUGCAAUAAUGCUUCUGAGACAGGGUUGGAAGUUUAGAUUUAACCCUCCCUGCAGACAAAAUUAUAGAAAACACUCUUUGUUUAUUAUAAGUGAAUCGUAUCUGCAAAGAAGAAGGGGCCCCUCUUACUAUGGACACAUGGAAUUUGGCAACUGCAUGUUUAUUCUUUUCUGUCUCAGCCAUAUGACCCAAAACAAAAUUCUAACUUCCAGAAAGCCCCGCAUAUGUAUGGGGGAUGUGUGGGGGAUAUUUAUGUAUGUGUGUGUGCCUGUGUAUUCUAGGUAUUAUUCAAAAGAUACUCAGUAGCAAGGAGAAGAGCAAUUGGGAAAGUUGCACAGAGCAGGAACAAUGUCUCUAUGCUGGGGAUUUUUCUGAGUUCAGUUCUCAAGUUUCCUUUGAGGCUGCUCUGAUGAAUUCCACCUGCAUUCCAGGACACUUUUGUUAAUGAGGAAUUAGUCUGAGGAGUUCUCUGGAUAAAUAUUUGUGAGCAAAUAACAUUCUUCCUGGAAGCUCAUUUAAUAUGGUGUCUAUUUUUUCUUCCUUCUUUUUUUCUCUUUACCAGACUUAUGAUCCCAGAGAAACUCGCACUAAAUUCACAUGCCCUAUUUUUAACUUUCAUCUGGACUUCCUUCUUUUUUUUUUUUCCUUCAAGCAUGAGAAUCAAGCAAAUAAUGACCCUUUGUAUUGUGUCCAGUGGAAGGUCACAAGCCCAGGGAAUUUACUUAAGUUCCCGGGAGAAGUCAGGCUGUAAAAGAUUCAUGUGCACGGACUUCAGAUGGUACCAUUUUGGUUAUUGGGUCUGCUAAGUACAUUCACUUCCAUUCUACAAACAAAAGCAACUGGUGAAUGAAUACAGCAAUAGUUUUGGCUUUUGUAGAGAAAUUGACAGUACAUUCAUAGCUUGGCUUCAUCCUUGGCCCACCCAAAUCAAGACAGUUAAGUGGAUCCCAGGCUGCUGACAUUGCUUUGGUCAGCUACAGCCUAUAGAAGAUGGCAUUGAUAGACAUGACCAGAGAUUUGAGCUGUCAGAUUGCUCUUUCACUGUUUUUAAACCAUUGCAUGUUUUUUUCCCCCUAGAAGACAUUCCUUAGAGUUUAUUAUACAGAAGAGGAGAAGAAAGAGAGGAACAAAUGUGCCUGUUGGUAGCUUACUGGCAGUUACAGCAGGAGCCUCAACUCUGCUGUACUCAGGACUCAGGUGGCCCAUCUGAGUGAGUGCAGUAGACCCACAGGGAUGUGCUGAACUAUGGGUCACCCAUCCUUUCUUAUGUGGACAGCUGCUACUUAACUCAAGAUGACUUUUUGCCCUAUGGAAUGACAGGUCUUCUUUUGUGAUAAGUCAUACAUUUACAGUUUUAGAUGAAAUACUCUGAUUUUAAAACCUUGGGAAGUACUCAAAACUAUGACCAUGUAUGAUGAACUAAAGACAGUAGGCAUGUGCAGUGGGUUAUGGCUCUUCUGGGUACUAAACAAGCUCAUUAGAGCAGCCCAAAUGAGUGGAGAGGCAGUCAACACAGAAGAUCGCCUGGCCAUUUUCAAAACUCCUGAUCUCAGUGCCAAACUGUGAUGCAAAGUUGUAAGUCAGAGGCAACUGUGGUUGUGCUCAAGAGGUGGGAGGAGCAGCAUGAGGUAGGUGCCCCAGGGAAGCGGUAGGAGGAUGUUAGUCAUGACUUGCACCCUAACUCGGGUGAUUCAUUUAUGUAUUCAGUUGAUACUAUCUAUUGAGUACCCUCUAGGUAUCAGCACCAUGCUAGACAUUAGAUAUGUGGUGAUGAACGAGAAAGUUAUCGUUGCUAUCUUCAUGUGUGGAACAUAGACAUAUGCCAAUAAUUACACAAAUAAAUGCAAAGUGUCCAGUGCAAUGUGUCCUCCAAAGGAGAGGUGUGGACUGUGAAAAUACAUCUUUGGAGGAUUUGUUCUGGUCAGGGUGGUUGAGAAAGGCUCCCCUAAGGGAGUAAAUCUGCCUAUUGUAGGAAGGUGGGGUAGGAGUUACCCAGGCACAGUGGGAGGGAACCACCUUUCAGGCAGAAGAAACAGACCCUGUGGCAUAAGGGAACAUGAUAAAAUGCAAGAACACAAUUUCAGGGUUAGUGUGGCUGGAAUGCAGAAAGCAAGAAGGAGCUGCAGAAUUGGGCAGGGACAGACCCAGCAGGGUCUUGUAGGCAGUGUUAAGUUGUCAUGACUGACCUUGGAUCCAGGCAAAUUCAACUGAGUGAUUUUAACCAGGGAAGUAUAGGACUAGGACCACAUCUUGAAAAAAAAAUCAUUCUGGCUGUAGAGUGGGGAACAGCUUAAUCAGAAGCAAAAGCGUAGGCAGGGAGAAACAUUAGCAAACAAUUGCAUUGGACCGGGAGAGAUGAUGCCAACUCCGACUAGGGUGGUGACUGGAGUUACAUAGACAGGUGAAUAAAUUGGAGAGUGCCAGGACAUACAAAUGGGAGGAGAGGCAGGUGCAUGUGACGUUAAUUGUCUUUGUCAACUUGGCUAGGUUACAGUACUCACUUCCUAUCAAGCACUAAGUUAGGUGUUUUUGUGAAGAUAUUUUGCACAUGUAGUUAACAUCUAUAGCCAUUUGGCUUUAAAUAAGGAAAGCACCAGUGAUGGGGUAAGUGGGCCACAUCCAAUCAGUUGGAGGCCUUAAGAAGUAAAAACUAAGGUCUCCCAGAGAAGAUAAUAUUAUGCCUCAAGCAGCAGCAUUAACUCCUGCCUGAGUUUCCAGCUUGCCAGGCUGCCAUGCAGCCUCUGUAUGUGCUAGUCCCCAAGAUUGUGAGAGCCAUUUCUGGUUCCACUUAUCUGGAGAACCCUGACGGAUACAAUACAUAUUAGAAAUGUGCUAUGACAUCUUUAAGAUACUAUUGUUCCUUCAAAUAAAUAAAUAAAUAAGUAAGAUCCAAAGGAUAUCAAAUCCAUCCCUACAAAGAAAUGUUGCAGACUCAACCCAUCCAUUUUUUCAGUAUGAAUAAUGGUGGGACAGGGAGAUAUGUCUUUAGACGAAGAACAGGAGUAUGAUUGAGAGAAGUAGGAAAAAAUACAACUCUUUUAAAUAAAAAUGGAAAUGACCAAAUAUUUCACAAAAUGUGAAACACUUUUCUUUGACAAAUAGGUCUUUUCAUUCUAAUGCUUUCUGAGUCCUUAAAGAAAGGGGGAGAUGUUGGUAAAAGCCAGUGCAUUUUCAUAUGCACAACCCCUAGAGUCUAAGAUUGUCUGGUUUUCCCAGGUUCUCAAGUGCGGAGUUCCUACAGCUGGAUCAAGGUUAAGGUCCUGGGUGAGAAAGGCUGAAGAAGCUCAUGCUUACCACCAAACAAAUCCACCCAGAAAAUCUAGAGGAAGUGCAAUAAAUCGGUGGCCUCCAGUUUCCAUUACUGUGAGCCCUUUAACCCCUGAAGCCAAACAAAAAAGUAAAUAAAGUCUAAGAAUAGAACUGGCUUUAACUUUUUUUUUUUUUUUUUAAGGAAAAGCUUUCCUUUUAUCUCUGCUUUCCCUCUCCCCUACCCCUUCCCUCUGUGGUUCUGAUCCAGACCUCCUCUGGAGAGAGGCAAGUUCACUGUCUAUGUGGGCUGGCAAUGCCAGGAAAGAGUCCGUUCAGGUGGAGAAUCUCAUUCUGCAGUGCUCCCGCUAAGCAGCCCUUUCAACGUGCUCGCCUGGUGACUCUGGCUCAAUCAUCAUAUUCUGGAAAUGCAGCAGGACUCAGUCAUGAGCCAGCUACUGAACUGUCUUAGUCUCCCCCACUGUGGCUGAAAACAGACUGACAUGAGGAAAUGGAUGGGAACUAGAGUAAGCGCGUCUCCCCACUUCCUGAACAGGGUUUAAUUCCAACAGUGACAUCAUAUUACAAGACCAAAGAGAAGAAUACAAAGAAGGAAAUGAAGAAAUGUCCAGAUAAUGACAAGAAUUUUGAAAUGGCACUACUGUUUUCUAAUACCAUGGAUGUACUAGAAUUACACCUAGCAAACUAGAUACAGAUACUUUGCAUCUAAUAUAACAAAGGUGGUUGUUUCUAGCAUUUGCUUCAAUGCAAAAGGUGGAAAGAUCUGCCAAAACAUCAUAUUCGACAAAAUCAUUAGAAGUGUGUUGUAGAUAGGCUUUGCAAAACCUUUUUGUGUUGAUCUUCCUUGGGUGAGCAUUCUGGAAAGAGAAGACCUGGUGGUUUACACAGAGCUCCCAAGUUGCCAUCACACUAAAGACAGAAUACAAGUUUGCUGAUACAGACACAGAAAGGCUGUAAGUCCCCACCUUCCCCCGCAGCUUUUCAAUAGAGCAACUUUUGAAACAAUACAAUGACAUGCAAUUCUAACAGGAGGAUGGAUCUUGGUAAUUUUGAAUAUUUCAAUCUAAAGAAAAAGGCACAGAAGUAAAAGGAGAUAUGAAGAAAACAUGCAAAACAGGGAUCUAUGCAGAUGAUGACAAGAUUAUGAAGUCCUCCUCAGCAGCUAAAAGGUCAGGUAUUUAUGAAUUUUUUAUACAUUAAAAAUGGAUACCAGCAUGACCUCAUUAAAGAGCUAAUAUUAGUAGAAAAGGAUAGGUCAGUGUCAAAAGCAAUGUCUGAUUCCCAGUACAAGGUACCUGGCUUAAUCGACUUUUGUCAACCUCAACAAAACAUGAGUACAGGCUGGAUACAGGCUGUCACUCCCAAUUAACACAACCUUCGAGUUUGUCCUUGUUUAGUGUCAAGAAAUUAUAACACAUCCUCAAAGAGACAGUCGUUAGACAGUAGUGUCGCAUUCACACCUGUCUCAUACACAAACCAAUGUGACUACUUAUUACUGUUGCCAUUCCAGUUUUGGUCAGUUUUUACCUUUAUCUUUUAUUUUCAUGCCAGAACAGCCACCUUUGGGAGCAAACCAAGGAAAUGAACACCUCCUUUCCCUAACCAAAUAGCAUAACAUUAGCCAGAGUAAAAGAAAAUGCACCAAAACUACCAGUGCUCAUUGGUGAUCUAGAAAUAUGAUCUUGGCCAACGACCAACACUGGAGGCCUCUCACAGAUGAGCUUGACCUCCACAUGGAUCUGUGUUGGCUCCCCAAAACUCCACCUACUGAAAGGCUGUGUCAACCAGCAAGUGCUUACUCGGCAAUGGGACAUGCACAGCACAUGGCAGAUGCUCCCAAGACAAUUGUUUAUCUCCCCUACAGAUACGCUCAGGCAGAAAUGGUCCUGGAGUUAUGCAUAGAAAGAACAUCAAAUGCUGAGAUGAAGCUUGUCUUCUGACCAGUUCGUCUUUUUAUUUUAUUUUUUAUCUCUUUAGCGUCCAGAGGUUGAAUCAAUUCCCAAAGUUCAGUGCAAUUUUUAGAGUUUACAGGCAUUCCACAGUUCUGAAGGAACAGAGUACAAAAAUCUGGUAGAGUGAACCAAACUCAUAAAACUGGGACUGCAAAAUGCCACCGCUGCCCCCAGUUUCUCAUACUCUGAUUCUAGCAGUUGAGGGGAUUCCAGGUCCAUUAACACACAUGUGUUUUUAUUUUUUUACUAGAGGUCAGUGGUAAAAUUCCCUUUGGUGCUGCAGACCUGUGUGCAGAAAUGCGAACGAUAGGAAGAUCUGGCUGGGCGCAUCCUAUUUAAUUUACACUAUGCCUGGAUCUGUCAGGUCCUAAAGAAAGAUGCAGCCCAGGAGAUUUGGGAACUUCCUAAUGUGAAUGGAGUUGGCAGCCCACAUUCUUGGCUUCCACUGAUUACAGCUUCAGUUUCUGACCCCCAGGAGGCCAAACCAGCAAGAGGAAAAUGCAUAUAGUAAAUGUUGAGACCUACGUCCAUAAUGAAAGUGCCCCCCUUUCAUCACACUGGUUCCUGUCUUCUGGCAAAGUCUACUGCUUAGAGUUAAUGCCCUCCCUCUAGCAUGGAAUUGAAGAAAAAUAUCAAAAUCUCACAUCAACCCAACAAUAGAAGGAAUUGUUUAAAACAAUAUGGCUUGCAUAAGAUUACCUAUUGGCAACCCUUUUAAGUCAGGUUUUUGAAUAACAUUUAAUUCAAUGGGGAAACACUCAAAAUGCUAAGUUAGAAAGUAGGAUGCAAAAUUGUAUUUUAUAACAUAGUCACAAAAAAGUGUUAAAUGGUUAUGUCUGUAUGGUGAGAUUAAAGAUGAUUUUAAUUUUUGGUUUUUACUUUUUACAUGA